CUUUAACGGAGAGUUUGAUCCUGGCUCAGGACGAACGCUGGCGGCGUGCCUAAUACAUGCAAGUCGAGCGGACUUGAUGGAGUGCUUGCACUCCUGAUGGUUAGCGGCGGACGGGUGAGUAACACGUAGGUAACCUGCCCAUAAGACUGGGAUAACCCACGGAAACGUGAGCUAAUACCAGAUAGGCAUUUUCCUCGCAUGAGGGAGAUGAGAAAGGCGGAGCAAUCUGCCACUU
rnacentral:rRNA from 1 species